rfam:Myotis lucifugus cont2.16349, whole genome shotgun sequence.
GGCGAUUCUCAGGUGACACACCCUGUAAUUGGGCUCCCUCCUCUCUGAUUUCGGGUGUGUCACCUGAGAACCUCA